rnacentral:tRNA from 2 species
GCCAGAGUAGCUCAGUGGUAGAGCAUCGCAUUCGUAAUGCGACGGUCGUCGGUUCAAGUCCGAUCUCUGGCUCCA